AUCUUUCUAGUAUUAACCAAAUACGUGUGACUUCCAAUUACCUAAUCCUGGUUAAAGCCCAGGGAAAGAUA
rnacentral:tRNA from 1 species